CUGUAGUCACAUGUUCUACAAAGAAAUUAGCAGCACUGCAGUUAAGAGAGUAGGAGCUGGAGUUCAGAUGACCUGGGUCCAAAUCCUGACUUCACCUUGAGCACAGACCUGACUAUAGAAAGCCUGAGUUCUCCAACCAGGGGAAAACACUUCCUAGAACUGCGUAUAUGUGUCUGUCUAAGGAUGAACUUCAGAUUCCUUAUAGAAGAAACAGGGAUGAUAAUACUACCUGCGUGGUAGCAUUAUGCUGAAGAUAAGUGAGUUAAUACAAACAGAGUGCUGAGAACAG
rnacentral:lncRNA from 10 species